UUUGGCAGUAGUACAAUUAGAAAUUCUGUUGUACUCAUCUGGUCCAAGACCACAAACAAGAAUGUUUUUGGUCUUAGCGUUUUUCCUGAGAGCUGCUAAAUCUUCCGCAGUGAAGUCAAUCCUAACCUUUGGUACUUGAACUCCUUCAACAGUCUUCAUAGGAAUAGUAGGUCCCAUAGUUAUCCUAUCCCACAAUUCGUAAUCAUCCGUUUGAAUGAAGUCCUCCAUGC
rnacentral:lncRNA from 1 species